GGCCAGGUGGCGGAAUGGUUAACACAUGCGAGAUGAAUACAGACAUACUCGCAAGGUCUUUGUUCGAUUCGGAGUCUGGCCU